rnacentral:lncRNA from 1 species
CACCAUCUACUUCCGUGGAAGGGAAAGCGUCAUGGCGGCUUCCUGUUUCGUCGCGCAAGGUUUUUCAAUACGGACUCUCAACAAACUUUCGCGAUUUUUAUACGUCGAACGCAUCCUCCCUCGUGAAAAAUCUUGACUGAAGUGACCGCACUGAUGAAGACAAACAUCUAUAGCUCGGAACUGUGCCUCGUUUCGCCCAUGGGUUGCAAAGGAAAAAGGGUGUAAAAGGUGGCAAUGAAUCCGCACAUGAAGCUGGCUCACAAGCUAAGCCUCCCCUAAAGAGGUCCACUAAGCAAGCAUUUUAAAUAUUGCUAAUAAAACAUUUCGUUCUGUCUUCAUCUACCUAA